UACGGAAGGGUGCAAGCGUUUAAUCGGAAUUACUGGGCGUAAAGCGUGCGUAGGUGGUCUUUUAAGUCCGUUGUGAAAGCCCUGGGCUCAACCUGGGAAUGGCAGUGGAUACUGGAAGGCUGGAGUACGGUAGAGGAGGGUGGAAUUCCCGGUGUAGCGGUGAAAUGCGCAGAUAUCAGGAGGGAACACCGGUGGCGAAGGCGGGUCUCUGGGCCGGAACUGACGCUGAGGAGCGAAAGCGUGGGGAGCAAACAGG
rnacentral:rRNA from 1 species